rnacentral:rRNA from 1 species
GACGUAGGGCGCGAGCGUUGUCCGGAUUUAUUGGGCGUAAAGAGCUCGUAGGCGGCUUGUCGCGUCGACCGUGAAAACCUGCAGCUUAACUGUGGGCUUGCGGUCGAUACGGGCAUCACUGGAGUUCGGCAGGGGAGACUGGAAUUCCUGGUGUAGCGGUGAAAUGCGCAGAUAUCAGGAGGAACACCGGUGGCGAAGGCGGGUCUCUGGGCCGAUACUGACGCUGAGGAGCGAAAGCGUGGGGAGCGAACAGG